UACGUAGGGUCCGAGCGUUGUCCGGAAUUAUUGGGCGUAAAGGGCUCGUAGGCGGUUUGUCGCGUCGGGAGUGAAAUCUUACAGCUUAACUGUGAACUUGCUUCCGAUACGGGCAGACUUGAGGCAUUCAGGGGAGAACGGAAUUCCUGGUGUAGCGGUGAAAUGCGCAGAUAUCAGGAGGAACACCGGUGGCGAAGGCGGUUCUCUGGGAAUGUACUGACGCUGAGGAGCGAAAGUGUGGGGAGCGAACAGGAUUAGAUACCCCCGUAGUCC
rnacentral:rRNA from 1 species